rnacentral:rRNA from 1 species
CUCUAUUAGAAUUAAUUAAUAGUAAAAUCUGCUCAAUGAAUUAUAAAUAGCCGCAAUUUCGUGCUAAGGUAGCAUAAUAAUUUGUCUUUUUAUUAAAGACUAGAACAAACGAUUAAACAUUUAAAUUUAUCUUUCAAUUUUAAUCCUUUAAUUUUCUUUAAAUGUAAAAAACCAUUUAUUCUAAAGAAAGACGACAAGACCCUAUUGAAUUUUACUUAAGUUUAACUGGGGAAGUUUAUUAAAAUUAAUUUUAAUUAAAAUCAUUCUAUAAAAGACCUAAUAUAAUUAAAUUUUUGAAUAAAUUACCAUAGGGAUAACAGCGUAAUUAUUUUCUAAAGUUCUUAUUUACAAAAUAACUUGCGACCUCGAUGUUGAAUAAUUCUUCUGUUUCUCGCAAAAGAGAUUUCAUGAAAGUCUGUUCGACUUUUAAUUAAUUACA